GAUUUUUGAUCCCGCAUGUCGGUGUGUCGGGUUGAUUUCUUUCUGGCUUCGGCGUCAGAUACUGGAGAGAGAGAGAGAGAGAGAGAGAGGAGAGAUAGCGUGGGCUUCUUCUCCCUUUCUUCCGGGCUUUCUGCCCGCUGAGAACGUGCGCGCAAAAAGGAUGAAGCCAUCCCGAGCCGUGCGCCCCUUCCCCCGUCCUCCUCCACCUUGCCUGGGCUCCGCCUCCUCCACCUCUCUCUCUCUUCUGCGCCAACGGCCACUCCCUCGUUGCUGGACCCCGCCCUGCUUCGCCUCCGCCAGCCUCUUCCUCCUUGCCGUCGACGGCAGCGGUGUGAACUGGAGCAGCGGCCGUGACUAGAUGCGAUGAGUUGACCGGGCUGGUUCCACGCUGAGGAACGGACCCCCUCGACACCAUCAUCUGCGGCGCUACUCUGCUGCCUCCGUUUGUCACAGUUAAGGUUUGUGAUCUCUUCUGCAUUCCGCUUUCCAGGAGUUCUUGCCUUCAACACUGAGGUGGAAUGGCUCUUCCCAUACUUGUCUGUAAGCUAUUUGAUGAAAUGCUUGUGUCAUACUUUUUCUUCAGUUUUUAUUCCUGCUGUUGAGUUUUACUCUGGUUUGUCAUUUCUGUCGGCGCGAAGGUGGGGCUCGAAGAAGUAUGGCCCUGAUGCGCUAGGUUUGUCAUUUUUGUCAGCAUCCGCUUCCUUCGUUGGUUGUCGCUUGUUUGUACAUUGUUGUAGUUCAGAGACGCCACCCAAUUUGCUAAUAUAAUUGUUCAGUGCUCUCUCACAGCGAUUCUUACAAAAUUAUCAUGCAUACAGUUCCCUAUUUAAGUAGAGUAUAACCACUGGGUUAUUCAAAUGCAGAUUCUUUUGUAACUCAAGAGGUUAUAUUUUAAUUGCAUGCACUUACUUUAGCUUAGGGGUUCAUCUGUACGGGAGCACAUCAUUGGAGAGGAAGAUCAUGAUCAAAGGAAAUAGGUUUCAGCUUUCAGGCUCAUGCGCCUGUUUUCCUUUUUCCUUUUGAUGGGGCCGUUCAGGUGAGGUGAAGCAAGCAAGCACCUCCCCGUGUUUUAUAUUUGAGAUCGAGGAGAGAGCGAGCCAUUGCAGAGGAGAGGGGAUACGAGGAUGGGCGGAGGUCAGGCCUUGCUAACAGAUUUGCGGCGGAGUGGGAGAGGUGACGCCGACCGGCCGGCGCCUCACCACCGGCUCCUGUUUGGCGGUGGCAAAGAGAAGGGUGCCGAGGAUGUGUUGCUCUAUGCAUGGGUGUCGAAGUACAUCAUCGUUAUGACGUGUAUCAUUUCUCUAUUUUCAGCCCUACUACUCUUGAGCCCAAAUCCCAUGACCAUGCCCCCACCUCUCCUUCGUUGAAUGAAGGGAGUCUGGUUGCUAAAAAGUAUGGAAUUUUAAUUUGAUAGUCCGAACAACGGUGGAUACUGAUGGAGCUAUAUACAUCUUUACAUGAUAAGCUGACACCUAAUAAGGAUCAGGAGAACAACAGAGAUGCUAAGAGGCAACCUUUUGGGGUUAAGGAUAUCAACAACAACAGGGCUUAUGAGGCCGAAGAGAGCUCGAGUGGCGUCUUUUGGUACUUGAAGCCCUGCACGUUCCUGGUGUAGUAGCAGCAAAAUAAUUUGGAGGCUUUAAAGCUACUGCACUUCAUGUAGUUAGGAUCAAUUCUUUGUUUCGGUUUGAAAUAUUCCCCUAUUCCUCCUAUUUGAUUGAUUCAUCUGAUGGACAUUUUGUCAGGCAAAUAAACAAAAGGCAUAUGUAUUGUUCAAGAAAUAGAGAAAUGUUAUUGUUCUUCUACUAAUUGGUUGCUUGGCCAAAUGUAUUGUAAAUGAUUUAUUAUUGUUCAAGGUAUAGAGAAAUGUUAUUGUUCUUCA